GAUGAACGCUGGCGGCGUGCCUAAUACAUGCAAGUCGAGCGAACAGACGAGGAGCUUGCUCCUUUGACGUUAGCGGCGGACGGGUGAGUAACACGUGGAUAACCUACCUAUAAGGCUGGGAUAACUUCGGGAAACCGGAGCUAAUACCGGAUAACAUGUUGAACCGCAUGGUUCAAUAGUGAAAGACGGUCUUGCUGUCACUUAUAGAUGGAUCCGCGCCGCAUUAGCUAGUUGGUAAGGUAACGGCUUACCAAGGCAACGAUGCGUAGCCGACCUGAGAGGGUGAUCGGCCACACUGGAACUGAGACACGGUCCAGACUCCUACGGGAGGCAGCAGUAGGGAAUCUUCCGCAAUGGGCGAAAGCCUGACGGAGCAACGCCGCGUGAGUGAAGAAGGUCUUCGGAUCGUAAAACUCUGUUAUUAGGGAAGAACAAAUGUGUAAGUAACUAUGCACGUCUUGACGGUACCUAAUCAGAAAGCCACGGCUAACUACGUG
rnacentral:rRNA from 1 species